rnacentral:tRNA from 1 species
AGCCCUGGUAGCUUAAACAACAAAGCACUG